AAUUAUUUAGAAUUUUAGUUAAUUUUAAAUGAUUAAAAUAAAAAGAAAAUAGUGAAUUCAUGAGAUUUUGGUGGAAAUUAGGAUUGGAAAAAUAAGGGAAUGCUGUGAAAAUAAGAAUAAGUUGGGGGAAGAGCGAAUUGGAUGAAAUUAGGAGAUAUAGAAAAUUGUGAGAAUAGGAAAAACAAGGGUUUGAGAGAGGAGGAAGUCAUAACCAAAGCCUGUUCUUGCUGAAAAUUAAGGUAAGGGGAAACUUUUCUAAUUUAAGUGUUAUUGC
rnacentral:lncRNA from 1 species